AGAGUUUGAUCAUGGCUCAGGAUGAACGCUGGCGGCGUGCCUAACACAUGCAAGUCGAGCGAAGCACAUCAGCGGAAGCUUUCGGGUGGAAGCAGGUGUGACUGAGCGGCGGACGGGUGAGUAACGCGUGGGUAACCUGCCCUAUACAGAGGGAUAACAGCUAGAAAUGGCUGCUAAUACCGCAUGAGCGCACAGCUCCGCAUGGAGCGGUGUGAAAAACUCCGGUGGUAUAGGAUGGACCCGCGUCCGAUUAGCUGGUUGGUGGGGUAACGGCCCACCAAGGCGACGAUCGGUAGCCGACCUGAGAGGGUGACCGGCCACAUUGGGACUGAGACACGGCCCAGACUCCUACGGGAGGCAGCAGUGGGGAAUAUUGCACAAUGGGGGAAACCCUGAUGCAGCGACGCCGCGUGAGCGAUGAAGUAUUUCGGUAUGUAAAGCUCUAUCAGCAGGGAAGAAAAUGACGGUACCUGACUAAGAAGCCCCGGCUAACUACGUGCCAGCAGCCGCGGUAAUACGUAGGGGGCAAGCGUUAUCCGGAUUUACUGGGUGUAAAGGGAGCGUAGACGGCGAUGCAAGCCAGAUGUGAAAGCCCGGGGCUCAACCCCGGGACUGCAUUUGGAACUGUAAUGCUGGAGUGUCGGAGAGGCAGGCGGAAUUCCUAGUGUAGCGGUGAAAUGCGUAGAUAUUAGGAGGAACACCAGUGGCGAAGGCGGCCUGCUGGACGAUGACUGACGUUGAGGCUCGAAAGCGUGGGGGAGCAAACAGGAUUAGAUACCCUGGUAGUCCACGCCGUAAACGAUGACUACUAGGUG
rnacentral:rRNA from 1 species